rnacentral:rRNA from 1 species
UACGAAGGGUGCUAGCGUUGCUCGGAAUCACUGGGCGUAAAGCGCACGUAGGCGGCUUUCUAAGUCAGGGGUGAAAUCCUGGAGCUCAACUCCAGAACUGCCUUUGAUACUGGAGAGCUUGAGUCCGGAAGAGGUGAGUGGAACUCCGAGUGUAGAGGUGAAAUUCGUAGAUAUUCGGAAGAACACCAGUGGCGAAGGCGGCUCACUGGUCCGGUACUGACGCUGAGGUGCGAAAGCGUGGGGAGCAAACAGG